rnacentral:rRNA from 1 species
UCGUGAUCGACCGAUAGUGAACCAGUACCGUGAGGGGAAAGGCGAAAAAGAACCCCGGGGAGGGGGAGUGAAAUAGAACCUGAAACCGCAUGCAUACAAACAGUGGGAGCCCCUUCGGGGGUGACUGCGUACCUUUUGUAUAAUGGGUCAGCGACUUACGUUCAGUAGCGAGCUUAACCGAAUAGGGGAGGCGUAGGGGAAACCGAGUCUGAUAAGGGCGAUUAGUUGCUGGGCGUAGACCCGAAACCGGAUGAUCUAUCCAUGGCCAGGAUGAAGGUGCCGUAACAGGUACUGGAGGUCCGAACCCACUAAUGUUGAAAAAUUAGGGGAUGAGCUGUGGAUAGGGGGUGAAAGGCUAAAACAAAUCCGGAAAUAGCUGGUUCUCUCCGAAAACUAUUUUAGGUAAGUUGGCCCUCAAGUAUCACCCAGGGGGGUAAAGCACUGUAAUGGUUGAAGGGGUCAUCGCGACUUACUUCGCCAUAGCAAACUCUGAAUACCGUGGAGUGCGAGCUUGGGAGACAGACA